rnacentral:rRNA from 1 species
UACAGAGACUGCAAGCGUUGUUCGGAUUUACUGGGCGUAAAGCGCACGUAGGCGGAUCGUUAAGUCGGGGGUGAAAUCCUGGAGCUCAACUCCAGAACUGCCUUCGAUACUGGCGAUCUUGAGUCCGGAAGAGGUGAGUGGAACUCCUAGUGUAGAGGUGGAAUUCGUAGAUAUUAGGAAGAACACCAGUGGCGAAGGCGGCUCACUGGUCCGGUACUGACGCUGAGGUGCGAAAGCGUGGGGAGCAAACAGG